GACGGAGGGUGCUAGCGUUGUUCGGAAUUACUGGGCGUAAAGGGCGCGUAGGCGGCCCUGUCAGUCGGGUGUGAAAGCCCGGGGCUCAACCCCGGAAGUGCACUCGAAACUGCUUCGCUUGAGUGUCGGAGAGGAAAGCGGAAUUCUCGGUGUAGAGGUGAAAUUCGUAGAGAUCGGCAGGAACACCCAAGGGGAAGCCAGCUGACUGGCCCGGUACUGACGCUCAUGUGCGAAAGCGUGGGGAGCAAACAGG
rnacentral:rRNA from 1 species